rnacentral:pre_miRNA from 1 species
AGUGGGAUUGCUGGAUCAAAUGGUAAAUUGGUUUUUAGUUUUUCAAGAAAUCUUCAUACUGUUUUUCAUAAUGGUUGCACCAGUUUACAUUUAUGACAGUAGU